rfam:Salmo salar isolate Sally breed double haploid chromosome ssa03, whole genome shotgun sequence.
UGCAUUCACCUACUGUAAGUCGCUCUGUAUAAGAGUGUCUGCUAAAUGACUAAAA